UACGGGGGGGGGCAAGCGUUGUUCGGAAUUACUGGGCGUAAAGGGCUCGUAGGUGGCCAACUAAGUCAGACGUGAAAUCCCCAGGCUUAACCUGGGAACUGCGUCUGAUACCGGAUGGCUUGAAUUCGGGAGAGGGAUGCAGAAUUCCAGGUGUAGCGGUGAAAUGCGUAGAUAUCUGGAGGAAUACCGGUGGCGAAGGCGGCAUCCUGGACCGAGAUUGACACUGAUGAGCGAAAGCUAGGGGAGCAAACGGG
rnacentral:rRNA from 1 species